UUUCCUUCCACGGGCUCUCACCCGCUGAAGCCUUUCGCGGCGACUUGAAAUAAUCGCGCAGUCCGGGCAUCCUGCCUGGGCAACGCCCUCACUGUGCUGGAAGUCUGCCCUUGGGCGAUAACCAGCGGCCGCCCUCUUAGGGAUGGUUCACAGAUCAAACGAUGGCGGCCACCCGUGCGUGGUUUAGAUAUGACCGGAUCCAGCCGUUCGUCCGGCUGCACCAACAGUUCCGUAGGUGAACCUGCGGAAGGAUCAUUAAAGAGUUAUGAGAAGCCUGCCCUUAAAAGCAUGGCCAUCAUCUCCCACCCAUUGUAAACCUUACCAUUGUUGCUUUGGCGAACCAGCGGGUUCCACCCGCCGCCAGCCUCGGCUGGCGAGAGUUUGCCAGAGUCUAUCCAAACUCGUUUAAUUAGUGAUGUCUGAGAAAAAAUCAAUAGCAAAAAACUUUCAACAACGGAUCUCUUGGUUCUG
rnacentral:misc_RNA from 1 species